GAUGAACGCUGGCUACAGGCUUAACACAUGCAAGUCGUGGGGAAACGGCAUUAUGUGCUUGCACAUUCUGGACGUCGACCGGCGCACGGGUGAGUAUCGCGUAUCCAACCUGCCCCUUACUUGGGGAUACCCCGUUGAAAGACGGCCUAAUACCCGAUGUGUUUCAUUGACGGCACCCGAUAUGAAACAAAGGUUUUUCCGGUAAGGGAUGGGGAUGCGUCUGAUUAGCUUGUUGGCGGGGCAACGGCCCACCAAGGCGACGAUCAGUAGGGGUUCUGAGAGGAAGGUCCCCCACAUUGGAACUGAGACACGGUCCAAACUCCUACGGGAGGCAGCAGUGAGGAAUAUUGGUCAAUGGACGCAAGUCUGAACCAGCCAAGUAGCGUGCAGGAUGACGGCCCUAUGGGUUGUAAACUGCUUUUAUGUGGGAAUAAAGUGGCGCACGUGUGCGCCAUUGCAUGU
rnacentral:rRNA from 1 species